AAAGAAAAAGAAAAGAAAAAAAUGGUCCCAUCUCUCUCUCUCUCCUCCUUCUCUCUCCUCCCUCUCUUCUUCCUCUCUCUCUCCCGUGCGACUCCUCCAUCUCCAUCUCCAUCUUCUUCAUCUCCUUCUUCUUUGAAAACCCAGCAACCAGCAAGUUGGAGAAGCCGCACGCCUCCGCCGUUCACCGCCGUCGCACGCCCCCUCCGCCGCUCGUUGCCGGCCGCCCCUCCGACCGCUCGC
rnacentral:lncRNA from 1 species